CUAUGCAUCAUCCUCAUGGUGCUUGGAUGAACUCGCAAAGAUUUUAGAGUGCAAGGAAUAGAAUGAAUAAAUUGUUAUGCCGCUGUUUUACAAGGUAGAUUCUUCGGAAGUACGACAUCAAAUAAAGAGUGUUGAAAAAACAUUGGCCAAACUUGAAGAAAGGUUUCAGGAUCAAAGGAAGGUUUAGAGCGGGAAGAACGCCCUAAAACAAUUGAGCAAGACAAACUACAAAUCAAGGCAUGAACAAAUACCAUUGGGGGAGAGAGAGAGAGAAUGGAAUGCAGUCAGAUAAUGAUCCACCACAAGCAAAUCCAAAACUAGAAAUGACGUAAAGAAGCAGGGGAGGGAAAAGAAAGAAGUUUACAGUGCUGAAGAGGUUGGAAAGGCAGGAGGGGCAGAAGUUGGCGUAGGCAAAGCUGCACCCGUCACGCUUUAUUGCAGAAAUAAGGUUCGAGCCUUCCUUCAAUUAAUUGACGAAAGCUCACAAAGCCACAGAUGAACAUCUCUCUCAUCUCAAUGGAGGGCUCGAACUCAUCAUUAAUUGGGCUGCAAAUGAAGCAGAUUUUGACGCUUUGUAGCUUUUUCCAGCAUAAAAGCGGUACUGUAAAUGCCUCGUUGUUCCAGCUCCGAACUUUCUUUUGCUUCUGAAACCUUUCUUAAGUUUGGCCAAUAC
rnacentral:lncRNA from 1 species